rnacentral:rRNA from 1 species
UUUAUUGGAACUGGAUGAAAGGCUCAACAAACACAUAAUUUUUUAUUUUUAGAUGUUAUAAUUUUUAAUUUACGUAAAAAUACGUAAAUGAAUUUAAGGGACGAUAAGACCCUAAAAGCUUUAUUAUUUAAAUUUUUGUUAUUAUUUAGAUUUUAUUGUUUAAUGUAUUUUAACUGGGGCGGUUGUUUUUUUAACAAAAAUUUUUUUUACAAAUAGGAUUAAAGAUCCUUAAAAUUAGGAUAGAUUGUUUAAGUUACUUUAGGGAUAACAGCGUUAUAAUAAUAGGGAGACCUUAUUUAUAUUGUUGAUUGCGACCUCGAUGUUGAAUUAAAUUUUUCUAUAUAAAGCAGAAAUUAUAUAUGAAAGUUUGUUCAACUUUUAAAUUUUUACAUGAUCUGAGUUCAAA